UACGAAGGGGGCUAGCGUUGUUCGGAAUUACUGGGCGUAAAGCGCACGUAGGCGGACUGUUAAGUCAGGGGUGAAAUCCUGGAGCUCAACUCCAGAACUGCCUUUGAUACUGAUGGUCUCGAGUCCGGAAGAGGUGAGUGGAAUUCCGAGUGUAGAGGUGAAAUUCGUAGAUAUUAGGAAGAACACCGGUGGCGAAGGUGGCCCACUGGCUCGAUACUGACGCUGAGGUGCGAAAGCGUGGGGAGCGAACAGG
rnacentral:rRNA from 1 species